GACUGGGCUCAGUUGGUAAAGAAUCUGCCUGCAAUGCAGAAGACCUGGGUUCGAUACCCGGGUCA
rnacentral:tRNA from 1 species